GAUGAACGCUGGCGGCGUGCCUAAUACAUGCAAGUCGAGCGAACAGACGAGGAGCUUGCUCCUCUGACGUUAGCGGCGGACGGGUGAGUAACACGUGGAUAACCUACCUAUAAGACUGGGAUAACUUCGGGAAACCGGAGCUAAUACCGGAUAAUAUAUUGAACCGCAUGGUUCAAUAGUGAAAGACGGUUUUGCUGUCACUUAUAGAUGGAUCCGCGCCGCAUUAGCUAGUUGGUAAGGUAACGGCUUACCAAGGCAACGAUGCGUAGCCGACCUGAGAGGGUGAUCGGCCACACUGGAACUGAGACACGGUAGACUCCUACGGGAGGCAGCAGUAGGGAAUCUUCCGCAAUGGGCGAAAGCCUGACGGAGCAACGCCGCGUGAGUGAUGAAGGUCUUCGGAUCGUAAAACUCUGUUAUUAGGGAAGAACAAAUGUGUAAGUAACUAUGCACGUCUUGACGGUACCUAAUCAGAAAGCCACGGCUAACUACGUG
rnacentral:rRNA from 1 species